AUUUGGACUAAUGGAAUCUAUGAGUCAUUAAAACUGGGGGUAACUGAGCCAGGGUGGAGGAAGUCGUGCAGGAGGAGAGGGGGUGCUGGAACAGAACCCCGUGGAGUACAAGCAUUCGACAGGGGGCUCCAGAGGAAUGCCAUCGCCAGAGUCCGAGCCAGAUGUCCAAGGACCAGCCAGUUUCCAGUGAGCCAGAAGCUGGGUCAGGACAAUCGUUCUUGUUGACUUUAGCCACACGUCACGGGAGACUGGCAAAACCAGAUUCUGAACGGUUGAGAAAGACGUACACAAUGUUUGCUUGCAUAUACGUCUUGCACAUCACAAGAGGACAUUGGAACCCCUGGGUAUAGAUGGUUGUGAGCCACCAUGCUUGUGCCGGGACUUGAACGUAGGACCCCAGAAGGGCAGCCAGUGCUCUUAAAUCCCUGAGCCGUCUCCCCAGCCUCCUUAUCAUCAGAGCUGGAGAUGAGGUUUGGUGUUAGACUCGCUGCCGAGCACACCCGAUACCCUAAUGCUUCUCAGGAAACAAAUCAACUUCCCAAAGAGCAGUUUCACUCCUCAAGAACAUACUCUCCGUCCAGCUGCCUCGUUCACUGUCCCGCGAACUCAUUCCCGUGGGAGCUAUUCCAAACAACAGGGAACACGGACUGUGCCUUUCAGCCGCUUGCUUCAGACACUUUGCCAAAAGCCCCUGCCAGGUCUCAAGGCUGCCUGAUGUCUCUGGGAUCCAAACUCGAUUCUCCGUGUUAAAGCUCCACGGUAUCUCUUUACUGGUGUGUGUCCCGUGGCCUUCGGAAUCUUAAUCUGUCCGUGUCUCUUUUGUUGACGAUUCGGGGAUUGCCUGAGUCUCGUGGGUGUGCUUUGCUCUGAAGAGCAGAAGGCUUCGGUCCCAACUGGUGUUGCCGAAACAGCACGCUAACUCCAUCCCGUGGUCCUGCGUCAAGAUCCGCACGAUCUGCUUGGCCAUGUCACCUCGGAUGGCCAGCGAGCGGAAGUGAUCAAAACUGUGGAGUCCCAGCUUGCGCAGGCGCCUUGCAGCUGCCCGGUAACACUUCCAGGGUUGUGGCUCCACGAGGAGGUAGCUGCAGAGAGAGGAGACGUGGGCCAGGAACUCGCACAGACCACGGUCCCCGUGGUUCAGAUGAAUCCACAUGGUUACUGACAUGCAGAAGACCAUGUCAAAAACGGAACGCCCAAACUGGCUCAAGAAAGAACUCAAGGGAACCUUCCUGCUCUCUUGAUCCAUGAUGUCCAGGGUGAUAAAGGUCA
rnacentral:lncRNA from 1 species